rnacentral:sRNA from 1 species
GGACUUCGCUUACACCAUCAAAGCUUUGAGAAGCAAGAAGAAGUUUAAUUAAUC